CGGGGGAGGCAAGCGUUGUUCGGAUUUACUGGGCGUAAAGGGCGCGUAGGCGGUCAGCACAAGUCAGUUGCGAAAUCUCCGGGCGUUAACUCGGAAAGGUCAACUGAUACUGUGCGACUAGAGUGCGGAAUGGGCAACUGGAAUUCUCGGUGUAGCGGUGAAAUGCGUAGAUAUCGAGAGGAACACCUGCGGCGAAGGCGGGUUGCUGGGCCGACACUGACGCUGAUGCGCGAAAGCCAGGGGAGCGAACGGGAUUAGAUACCCCGGUAGUCCUGGCCUUAAACGAUGGAUGCUUGGUGUCUGGAGUUUUAUAAUCUCCGGGUGCCGUAGCUAACGCGUUAAGCAUCCCGCCUGGGGAGUACGGUCGCAAGACUG
rnacentral:rRNA from 1 species